ACGCUCGACACCUACGGAAGGCAGCAGUAGGGAAUCUUCCACAAUGGGCGCAAGCCUGAUGGAGCAACACCGCGUGAGUGAAGAAGGGUUUCGGCUCGUAAAGCUCUGUUGUUGGAGAAGAACGUGCGUGAGAGUAACUGUUCACGCAGUGACGGUAUCCAACCAGAAAGUCACGGCUAACUACAUGCCCGCAGCCGCGGUAAUCUGAGCGGGCUGGCAAGGC
rnacentral:rRNA from 1 species